rnacentral:lncRNA from 10 species
GGCGACCCGGCGAGUAGAGGCAACACCAACACUCCUCCUUAGCGAGGGGUCUCCCCGCCGCGGUGGCUGCCCGGCCCCAAGGACAGGAGGGAUUUGUGCACUGACUCCUGACCCCGUCCUCCAGCGCUGCUCUGAAGGGAGAGUCUGUGCAGUGGCACCUGCGCGAAGCUGGCCAAAGCCUGCCCAGACGGCUCACCUGUGCGGGAUGGAACAAAAGGUCGGCUUGAGGUUUGCGAGUCCCAGCUCCCACUGCCCCUGCCACCUGCCUUUCCCUUCUCAGGACAUACACAGGACUGGGAGAAAAUAGACUAAGUAUUUGAUAUUA